AUUGAACGCUGACGGCAUGCCUUACACAUGCAAGUCGAACGGCAGCACGGGUGCUUGCACCUGGUGGCGAGUGGCGAACGGGUGAGUAAUACAUCGGAACAUGUCCUAUAGUGGGGGAUAGCCCGGCGAAAGCCGGAUUAAUACCGCAUACGAUCUACGGAUGAAAGCGGGGGACCUUCGGGCCUCGCGCUAUAGGGUUGGCCGAUGGCUGAUUAGCUAGUUGGUGGGGUAAAGGCCUACCAAGGCGACGAUCAGUAGCUGGUCUGAGAGGACGACCAGCCACACUGGGACUGAGACACGGCCCAGACUCCUACGGGAGGCAGCAGUGGGGAAUUUUGGACAAUGGGCGAAAGCCUGAUCCAGCAAUGCCGCGUGUGUGAAGAAGGCCUUCGGGUUGUAAGGCACUUUUGUCCGGAAAGAAAUCCUUGGCCCUAAUACGGUCGGGGGAUGACGGUACCGGAAGAAUAAGCACCGGCUAACUACGUG
rnacentral:rRNA from 1 species